GCUCAGGCUUCCUGUCAAAGAAAAUAUUGGAAAAAAUGUCUGUUGGCCCCUUCAUGCACCUGUCCAUAUCUCUGAUGGGGGUGGCCCUACAGACCAAAUUAGGGAACAUGAGAUUGAGGCUUCUCUUAAAAACACCGUCAAUAUCCAUUACCACCAACUUGCUUCGUCAGAAGAUCCUACUGAUACCAUGGAAGAGGGUCUCCAGUUCUCGAAGCUCGUGCAUCCGGAAUCUCGCUGCUCGCGGUGGUGGAGAAAUAUUAAGGAUAAAAAGUGAUCUGGCAGCUGUGAGAGAGCCCAUGACGGGAAUAUUGAGGUCCCAUGUU